rnacentral:rRNA from 1 species
ACGAUAUGCUUUGGGGAGCUGUAAGUAAGCUUUGAUCCAGAGAUUUCCGAAUGGGGAAACCCAGCAUGAGUUAUGUCAUGUUAUCGAUAUGUGAAUACAUAGCAUAUCAGAAGGCACACCCGGAGAACUGAAACAUCUUAGUACCCGGAGGAAGAGAAAGAAAAUUCGAUUCCCUUAGUAGCGGCGAGCGAAACGGGAAGAGCCCAAACCAACAAGCUUGCUUGUUGGGGUUGUAGGACACUCUAUACGGAGUUACAAAGGACGACAUUAGACGAAUCAUCUGGAAAGAUGAAUCAAAGAAGGUAAUAAUCCUGUAGUCGAAAAUGUUGUCUCUCUUGAGUGGAUCCUGAGUACGACGGAGCACGUGAAAUUCCGUCGGAAUCUGGGAGGACCAUCUCCUAAGGCUAAAUACUCUCUAGUGACCGAUAGUGAACCAGUACCGUGAGGGAAAGGUGAAAAGCACCCCGGAAGGGGAGUGAAAUAGAACCUGAAACCGUGUGCUUACAAGUAGUCAGAGCCCGUUAAUGGGUGAUGGCGUGCCUUUUGUAGAAUGAACCGGCGAGUUACGAUUUGAUGCAAGGUUAAGCAGUAAAUGUGGAGCCGUAGCGAAAGCGAGUCUGAAUAGGGCGUUUAGUAUUUGGUCGUAGACCCGAAACCAGGUGAUCUACCCUUGGUCAGGUUGAAGUUCAGGUAACACUGAAUGGAGGACCGAACCGACUUACGUUGAAAAGUGAGCGGAUGAACUGAGGGUAGCGGAGAAAUUCCAAUCGAACCUGGAGAUAGCUGGUUCUCUCCGAAAUAGCUUUAGGGCUAGCCUCAAGUGAUGAUUAUUGGAGGUAGAGCACUGUUUGGACGAGGGGCCCCUCUCGGGUUACCGAAUUCAGACAAACUCCGAAUGCCAAUUAAUUUAACUUGGGAGUCAGAACAUGGGUGAUAAGGUCCGUGUUCGAAAGGGAAACAGCCCAGACCACCAGCUAAGGUCCCAAAAUAUAUGUUAAGUGGAAAAGGAUGUGGCGUUGCCCAGACAACUAGGAUGUUGGCUUAGAAGCAGCCAUCAUUUAAAGAGUGCGUAAUAGCUCACUAGUCGAGUGACACUGCGCCGAAAAUGUACCGGGGCUAAACAUAUUACCGAAGCUGUGGAUUGUCCUUUGGACAAUGGUAGGAGAGCGUUCUAAGGGCGUUGAAGCAUGAUCGUAAGGACAUGUGGAGCGCUUAGAAGUGAGAAUGCCGGUGUGAGUAGCGAAAGACGGGUGAGAAUCCCGUCCACCGAUUGACUAAGGUUUCCAGAGGAAGGCUCGUCCGCUCUGGGUUAGUCGGGUCCUAAGCUGAGGCCGACAGGCGUAGGCGAUGGAUAACAGGUUGAUAUUCCUGUACCACCUAUAAUCGUUUUAAUCGAUGGGGGGACGCAGUAGGAUAGGCGAAGCGUGCGAUUGGAUUGCACGUCUAAGCAGUAAGGCUGAGUAUUAGGCAAAUCCGGUACUCGUUAAGGCUGAGCUGUGAUGGGGAGAAGACAUUGUGUCUUCGAGUCGUUGAUUUCACACUGCCGAGAAAAGCCUCUAGAUAGAAAAUAGGUGCCCGUACCGCAAACCGACACAGGUAGUCAAGAUGAGAAUUCUAAGGUGAGCGAGCGAACUCUCGUUAAGGAACUCGGCAAAAUGACCCCGUAACUUCGGGAGAAGGGGUGCUCUUUAGGGUUAACGCCCAGAAGAGCCGCAGUGAAUAGGCCCAAGCGACUGUUUAUCAAAAACACAGGUCUCUGCUAAACCGUAAGGUGAUGUAUAGGGGCUGACGCCUGCCCGGUGCUGGAAGGUUAAGAGGAGUGGUUAGCUUCUGCGAAGCUACGAAUCGAAGCCCCAGUAAACGGCGGCCGUAACUAUAACGGUCCUAAGGUAGCGAAAUUCCUUGUCGGGUAAGUUCCGACCCGCACGAAAGGCGUAACGAUUUGGGCACUGUCUCAACGAGAGACUCGGUGAAAUCAUAGUACCUGUGAAGAUGCAGGUUACCCGCGACAGGACGGAAAGACCCCGUGGAGCUUUACUGUAGCCUGAUAUUGAAAUUCGGCACAGCUUGUACAGGAUAGGUAGGAGCCUUUGAAACGUGAGCGAUAGCUUACGUGGAGGCGCUGGUGGGAUACUACCCUAGCUGUGUUGGCUUUCUAACCCGCACCACUUAUCGUGGUGGGAGACAGUGUCAGGCGGGCAGUUUGACUGGGGCGGUCGCCUCCUAAAAGGUAACGGAGGCGCUCAAAGGUUUCCUCAGAAUGGUUGGAAAUCAUUCAUAGAGUGUAAAGGCAUAAGGGAGCUUGACUGCGAGACCUACAAGUCGAGCAGGGUCGAAAGACGGACUUAGUGAUCCGGUGGUUCCGCAUGGAAGGGCCAUCGCUCAACGGAUAAAAGCUACCCCGGGGAUAACAGGCUUAUCUCCCCCAAGAGUUCACAUCGACGGGGAGGUUUGGCACCUCGAUGUCGGCUCAUCGCAUCCUGGGGCUGUAGUCGGUCCCAAGGGUUGGGCUGUUCGCCCAUUAAAGCGGUACGCGAGCUGGGUUCAGAACGUCGUGAGACAGUUCGGUCCCUAUCCGUCGUGGGCGUAGGAAAUUUGAGAGGAGCUGUCCUUAGUACGAGAGGACCGGGAUGGACAUACCUCUGGUGUACCAGUUGUCGUGCCAACGGCAUAGCUGGGUAGCUAUGUGUGGACGGGAUAAGUGCUGAAAGCAUCUAAGCAUGAAGCCCCCCUCAAGAUGAGAUUUCCCAACUUCGGUUAUAAGAUCCCUCAAAGAUGAUGAGGUUAAUAGGUUCGAGGUGGAAGCAUGGUGACAUGUGGAGCUGACGAAUACUAAUCGAUCGAAGACUUAAUCAAAUU